ensembl:lncRNA
UCAUGUGCUGAUCGUCAGACACUUCAGGAUUAAAGGCCUGUUUCAAGCGGUCUUGGGAUGCCAGCGGGCCGCUCGUGUCAAGACCUGCCACAUUCACCUUCACGUCCUCCACCGCAAAACACAGAAUCAGAGCAAAGUUCAGCUUUAUCCCAGUCACACUCGGAGAAUGAAGACCAAUCAGAAGUCAGUAUGCAAAUACCACGAUGAUGUCAUCACUGCUGGAUACAUUUGAAAGGUGAAGAUUCUAUCAGGUUGAGAGUCCAGGACGUCCUGCUGAAGGGUUCAUCUCUGCUCCGCUCAAACACCGGGUCACUUUGAUGUAGGUCAUGAGAUUCACUUCAGACGUUUGCCAGACUGCAUUUAUAACCAUGAGAUCGCAUAAACAGCUGGACGUGUAUGUUUAAUUUACAUCAGCCUGACAGGAAGCACACGGGACAAUUACUCCUGAUAGCACACACACACACACA